AUUGAACGCUGGCGGCAGGCUUAACACAUGCAAGUCGAGCGAGCGGCGGACGGGUGAGUAAUGUCUGGGAAACUGCCUGAUGGAGGGGGAUAACUACUGGAAACGGUAGCUAAUACCGCAUACCAUCAGAUGUGCCCAGAUGGGCUUAGCUAGUAGGUGGGGUAAUGGCUCACCUAGGCGACGAUGCCUAGCUGGUCUGAGAGGCUGACAAGCCAACCUGGAACUGAGAAACGGUCCAGACUCCUACGGGAGGCAACAGUGGGGAAGAUUGCACAAUGGGCGCAAGCCUGAUGCAGCCAGGCCGCGUGUGUGAAGAAGGCCUUCGGGUUGUAAAGCACUUUCAGCGAGGAGGCGUUACUCGCAGAAGAAGCACCGGCUAACUCCGUGCCAGCAGCCGCGGUAAUAC
rnacentral:rRNA from 1 species